rnacentral:rRNA from 1 species
AUUGAACGCUGGCGGCAGGCCUAACACAUGAAAGUAGAACGAGAGGCGGAUGGGUGAGUAAUGUCUGGGAACCUGCCUGCUGGAGGGGGAUAACGACUGGAAACGGUAGCUGAUACCGCAUACCCACAACUUGGCCCAGAUGGGAUUCGCUUGUUGGUGGGGUAACGGCUCACCAAGGCGACGAUCCCUCGCUGGUAUGAGAGGAUGACCAGCAACACUGGAACGGAGACACGGGCCAGAAUCCUACGGUAAUCAGCAGUGGUGAAUAUUGCACAAUGGGCGCAAGCCUGAUGCAGCCAUGCCGCGUGUAUGAAGAAGGCCUUCGGGUUGUAAAGUACUUUCAUCGGGGAGGCGUUACCCGCAGAAGAAGCACAGGCUAACUCCGUGCCAGCAGCCGCGGUAAUAC